rnacentral:rRNA from 1 species
GACGAACGCUGGCGGCGUGCUUAACACAUGCAAGUCGAACGGAAAGGCCCUGCUUGCAGGGUACUCGAGUGGCGAACGGGUGAGUAACACGUGGGUGAUCUGCCCUUCACUUCGGGAUAAGCCUGGGAAACUGGGUCUAAUACCGGAUAGGAGCCAUUUUUAGUGUGAUGGUUGGAAAGUUUUUUCGGUGUAGGAUGAGCUCGCGGCCUAUCAGCUUGUUGGUGGGGUAAUGGCCUACCAAGGCGGCGACGGGUAGCCGGCCUGAGAGGGUGGACGGCCACAUUGGGACUGAGAGACGGCCCAGGCUCCUACGGGAGGCAGCAGUGGGGAAGAUUGCACAAUGGGCGCAAGCCUGAUGCAGCGACGCCGCGUGGGGGAUGACGGCCUUCGGGUUGUAAACUCCUUUCGCUAGGGACGAAGCUUUUUGUGACGGUACCUAGAUAAGAAGCACCGGCUAACUACGUG